AGCAGCCGCGGUAAUUCCAGCUCCAAUAGCGUAUAUUAAAGUUGUUGCAGUUAAAAAGCUCGUAGUUGAAUUUCGGGGUUAGUAGGUUGGUCAUGCCUCUGGUAUGUACUGGUCUCACUGAUUCCUCCUUCCUGAUGAGCCGUAAUGCCAUUAAUUUGGUGUUGCGGGGAAUUUGGACUGUUACUUUGAAAAAAUUGAGUGUUUAAAGCAAGCUAACGCUUGAAUACAUUAGCAUGGAAUAAUGAAAUAGGACGUUCGAUCCUAUUUUGUGGUUCUAGGAUUGACGUAAUGAUUAAUAGGGAUAGUUGGGGGCAUUAGUAUUCAAUUGUCAGAGGUGAAAUUCUUGGAUUUAUGAAGACUAACUACUGCGAAAGCAUUUGCCAGGAUGUUUCAUUAAUCAAGAACGAAGUUAGGGAUCGAAGACGAUCAGAUACCGUCGUAGUCUUAACCAUAAACUAUAGCCGACUACGGGAUCGGAUGAUGUUAAUUUUUAUGUACUCUAUUCGGCGUCCUUAAC
rnacentral:rRNA from 1 species